rnacentral:rRNA from 1 species
GAGGAAUAUUGGUCAAUGGGCGGGAGCCUGAACCAGCCAAGUCGCGUGGAGGAAGAAGGGUCUAUGGUUCGUAAACUUCUUUUGCAGGGGAAUAAAGUGCGGGACGUGUCCUGUUUUGUAUGUACCCUGAGAAUAAGGAUCGGCUAACUCCGUGCCAGCAGCCGCGGUAAUACGGAGGAUCCGAGCGUUAUCCGGAUUUAUUGGGUUUAAAGGGUGCGUAGGUGGUUUGAUAAGUCAGCGGUGAAAGUUUGCAGCUUAACUGUAAAAAUGCCGUUGAAACUGUCGGACUUGAGUGUAAAUGAGGUAGGCGGAAUGCGUGGUGUAGCGGUGAAAUGCAUAGAUAUCACGCAGAACUCCGAUUGCGAAGGCAGCUUACUAAGCUACAACUGACACUGAAGCACGAAAGCGUGGGGAUCAAACA